GGACUGGGACAAUAAGUCAGGCCGGGCAUUAAUUGGAAUGAUUUCAUUCCUGUUUGAUUUAUUCUGUCAUUUUGUAUAACUAUAUUAAUCAUAUCAAUAUAAGUGUCUCGGACAUAUGUUUACAUAAAUGAUGACCAAACCGUUUGAGACCCACUGAGAUAACUUAGACUAAAGUUAACUCUAAACUCUGGGAGAGUCCUUUACCUCACUGAGCUGUAGUUAUCUGAGCCUCUCAGUCUGACAGGAGAGGACUCUCCUCGACCUUGUUCUAGAAACAGAUCCUGAUAUCCGUUAGCGCAGCUAGCUCCAGAUGCUAACAACAACAAUUCAAUUCAUCCAUGAGGUAUGACGCUCUGCUGUCCGUACGCUUCUCCAUGUUUGGGAUUGCAAGAGUAUAUCAUACAUUGACUUUAUCCAGUUUGAAGACACAUUUUGGUGCAGAGUUUGAUUAACUGACGGCUUACUCACAUGCUGUCUACAGAGCACAUGUGAUGCAUUCAGCCUCUGCAGCCUCUCUGCAGGACACACCCCGGAAGUAUCAUCGUGCAACACCUGGCAGAGAAGCAGCGUGAUGGCGCCGGUGUGGAAACACUUGUUGGCGUUUUACCUUCACUGCUAACAGCAUGCACAUUGUGCUAUCCCGUCAGCGUUGGUGAGUGCAGAGUUUCUGGACCAAACCUGAGGACAGCCGGGUUUCUUCACAUCAUCCUCGUCCUCUUCUUCCUCCACUCGUGGUAAAGAUGAACAGGUUGCCCCCCCACAGAAGAAGCAGGCCACAUCUGCUGGAUCAGGUACCAGGCUGCUAGCUCAGGAUGCCGAUGCUAUUCUCAGAGACACUGUUCAGGCAGCAGAGUCUUUGACAUGGGUGAAGAGGAGCGCAUCAUUGCUCUCCAGCAGCUGCAGUCCUCACACUUGUGGGUGGGGCUCUCUGCACUCCUGAGGGGAGACCAUAAGAACAAGACACCAUGAAUUUAAGGCUCAACAACAAAGCCUUGAUG